rnacentral:rRNA from 1 species
GAGGAAUAUUGGUCAAUGGACGAGAGUCUGAACCAGCCAAGUAGCGUGAAGGAUGAAGGUUCUAUGGAUUGUAAACUUCUUUUAUACGGGAAUAAACGAAUCCACGCGUGGAUUUUUGCAUGUACCGUAUGAAUAAGGAUCGGCUAACUACGUGCCAGCAGCCGCGGUAAUACGUAGGUCCCGAGCGUUGUCCGGAUUUAUUGGGCGUAAAGCGAGCGCAGGCGGUUUGAUAAGUCUGAAGUUAAAGGCUGUGGCUCAACCAUAGUUCGCUUUGGAAACUGUCAAACUUGAGUGCAGAAGGGGAGAGUGGAAUUCCAUGUGUAGCGGUGAAAUGCGUAGAUAUAUGGAGGAACACCGGUGGCGAAAGCGGCUCUCUGGUCUGUAACUGACGCUGAGGCUCGAAAGCGUGGGGAGCGAACAGGAUUAGAUACCCUGGUAGUCCACGCCGUAAACGAUGAGUGCUAGGUGUUGGAUCCUUUCCGGGAUUCAGUGCCGCAGCUAACGCAUUAAGCACUCCGCCUGGGGAGUACGACCGCAAGGUUGAAACUCAAAGGAAUUGACGGGGGCCCGCACAAGCGGUGGAGCAUGUGGUUUAAUUCGAAGCAACGCGAAGAACCUUACCAGGUCUUGACAUCCCGAUGCUAUUUCUAGAGAUAGAAAGUUACUUCGGUACAUCGGUGACAGGUGGUGCAUGGUUGUCGUCAGCUCGUGUCGUGAGAUGUUGGGUUAAGUCCCGCAACGAGCGCAACCCCUAUUGUUAGUUGCCAUCAUUCAGUUGGGCACUCUAGCGAGACUGCCGGUAAUAAACCGGAGGAAGGUGGGGAUGACGUCAAAUCAUCAUGCCCCUUAUGACCUGGGCUACACACGUGCUACAAUGGUUGGUACAACGAGUUGCGAGUCGGUGACGGCGAGCUAAUCUCUUAAAGCCAAUCUCAGUUCGGAUUGUAGGCUGCAACUCGCCUACAUGAAGUCGGAAUCGCUAGUAAUCGCGGAUCAGCACGCCGCGGUGAAUACGUUCCCG